AUUUGGCAGCAGCACAGAGGAAGGAUGGCUUAGUGCUAGGGAUAGAGGAAAGAACAGGUGGUAGGGCCCUGGGGUUAUCUCUGAUGCUCAGUCAAAACAUGCUGCUGACUCUUCCACCUGACUAGGUCUGGCCUGCAACGGCUGUAGCUUGCUGACCCCAGGUUCAAAUUCAAUGUAAAACCUGAAAAUGUUUCUCACUGUUUUGGAAAACAGUUGAAUUUUGUGUUCAAAAGUAAACAAAGCUUUAAAUUUGUACUGCAGUAAACUGACAAUAGGAGCUUUUUCUAUGACUGAGCUAGUGCCUCCUUUUAAAAUUUACAAUGCUGGAAUUGCCAUAGCUGCUUCCAGGGUAAACUAUAUGUAGUAGCAAACUGAGCUGGGGGAUAGGGUAUCUAGUUUACAGUGGGGAUUUUGCAGGUGUAUAUAGUGAUAUUGAUAUAAAACCUUGUGGGUAUGUUCUUCCUGUGUAGUCAAAGGUUAAAUCAAGCUACUUCUGAGGUAUUGUUUUGUAGCAGUGUACCUAAGGCUGCAAAGGGAUGUCACCUUUGCUUUUGUGACACCAUAGAAAGUAUGGUAUCAGAGUGAACAGACAUCCUUCCCCCCUCCCCAGUCACACUACGAAUGCCCCAAAUUGUGAGCAUGACAACUACUUAUAGUAGUUUUGUGCUGCCUGUUCAUUUAUGGUACAGGCAGCUCUGGAUGCCUGCCCUUCAGGGGCAUGAUCCUGUGGGAUGGCAGCCCUGGGUGCCCUGCUUUGGCCUGGGGUGUAUGUUUGCAAGCAGAGCUGAGAAGCAUGCAGUUCAUGCUUGGUCUGCAGUGCAAGAUGUCCUGGAAUUCUCUGCAGGUUACCUGUGAGGUUGGGGCCACGCACCUGGGGCUAUCUGUCAGGAUCAGGCUCUGAGUAGCAGGAGCCUGAUCCUGUAAGACAAUGGCCUUAGGUGCUGCUGGUCUCUGCCUACCUAUUGGAUUGGCUGUUCUGGGACACAUUCUGGCACAGCUGAUUCUGCCAGAGACAUUUGUGUAUAAUCUAACAUGUCAAAUACCCUUUGUGAACUGUCCUGAGCCAAUGCGUGCUGCAUGCAGCCUAUUCAACAGCAAGGAUAUCUGUGGUUUCUGAACCAGCUAUUGGGAGGGAAAGGCUGCUGCGCUGGGACUAACUUAGUAAUAAUAAAGUGACUGUGGUACAAGGCAUAAUGGAAUAGUCAUCUUGUGUGUAAAGGGUUUAAACUGAGAUGCACUACAUCUGAGUGACAGUCUCCACAUAGGUGGCUGGUGUGGUGCUUUUUAACAGCUCUUAAUUUAGUGCAAGUUAUAGUUUUGUCAGUAACUGCUUAAUGGGUUCCCCUUUUUAUUGCCAAAAGGCUGAUGUUUGUUCAGUUUCAGCUGACUGACUGGAUACCUCUCUCAAAUGUGUGUUCAGGGGUUGAUGCCCCUAAUAACGUUUUACAAUUGGUGUCUUUUGUUCAUUUCACAUAUUAAAAUGAAUAGCUUCUACUAGCAGUUGAAGCUUCAUACAUGUGUCAACCUUCCUGGGGGGUGAUUCAUUGUGUUCUGUGCACACAAAAAAAAGUGAAUGUCUAGAAACGUGGGGUACUACCUGCUGUGCCACAUUGCAUAAGGAGGGAUGAUUUGCUAAAAUGGGUGGUUCGUGAUCAGCUCAAGGAAGAAAAUGGUUCUGCUGCUGGGCAAAUGGUGUUAAACAGGUCUAGAAACUAGAAUAUACAUUUCUAGGUAUGCAACUGUAUUAAAUAGUGUCUUAACACUUCUGCACAGGAUGUCACUCAAUGCAUAGCUGUAAACAAAGCAGAAUUUUUUAGCAGUUUCCUGAAAGCAAAGCACUUAAAUUUGUAUUUUCUAAAAAUAAACAUCCUUCAGCUCUGUUAGGGAGAGAUUAUGCAGAUCACAUAGCAGAGCUGAAGAAGGGCCAGACUGUAGUCAGGGAAUGUACAUGCAAAAUCUAUUACAUUCUUCCAGGAAAACUUAUUGUCAGGCUUCUCUCGGCAACUUGAAAGAAUAGUGGCAAGCUGUACACAACACAGUAAGUGUAGGUGCUGAUAGCAACCUUCUCAAAUGUCUGUAAGGGAAAUGAGCCAUAUGGCAAUCUACGGGCCCAGGAUACUUAGCUUUAGAAUCUCUCACAGGAGGUGAUGGGGUUACACCGCACUGGUUUGUGGCCUCACUUCUACAUAACAAAAUACAGCUGUGAUCAUGUAACCAAUAUUGUGGUCUACACCUAAUGGACUACCAAGCAAAGCAUCUGUUUGUAUAGGCAGUUAGUGCACGUAUCAAAUGAAUGCUAGCUGAGGUAACGUACCUACAAGCAGAAGGUGCAUUGUUAAAUUAAACAACAGUCAUAGAGUUGCUCUGAACUUAUUUUUGGCCCGUAGAGUUCCACUGUUGGCCCUGGUUCUGUUGUUUAUGAUUCCCAGGCAGGAAUUAGCUAUUCACAUCCUUUGUGUGUCAUGUCGGUAGAUGUCACCAGUGAUUCAGAUCAUUGAGAACAUUAUGGAUCAUUUAGUCUUUCCUUCACUUCCAGCAAUGUACUACAUCAGAGACCUGACCCUACCCACUAGGGGAUGACUUAAUUGAACCAGGGUGUCCUGAGUCCAGAAAAGCACAAGGAGCUGGAUUGCCCAAUUCUGAGGGUGGUGAAUGUGGGCUUGUAAGUAGUGCUUUCUCAUGUAGCAGAUUGUGUGCCUGUUACCAAACAAUUCAGACAUCCUCUGCAUACUGCAGAGUGGUGAGUCAGCCCUGCAGAGAAAUGAGAGCGAGAAUGUGAUAGAAUGGUGCCGCAGCAUCAUUCAGGGGAGAAGUGCCCCUCAGCAGUCAGGCCAGGCUUUCAGGCUAGGAAAGGGUAGUAGGUGCCUGAUGUCAGAUGCUGCCUCCAUAAACAAUACCAUUGUUUAGCUGGCAUUCCCUCUUCUCCCUUAACUCUGGUAUUGUGCUCCCCUCAGAGAUCUAGGAUGACCAGGCAAAUAAAAACGUCAGUGAUUUGCUGGAGUAGCUAAACAGAUGUUUGGUUAGUGAUUGACCAGGGCCUAUUACCACCUGUUUUCUAGGACCCUUUCAUUGAGCUGGAAUCUAUAUUAAAAUGAACUGUAAGGGAAUAAAUUUCCUAUGUAGGUGAAUGGCUCAGUUUCCUCACAGAUACAUAGGUGCCCCUAUGGGAGAUGUAUUAAUGCAGAUGGGAAAUGAGGGCCAGGGCCUUUUUCCACUGGACCAACUACAAAACUUAAAAGUAUUAGCUAUAACUUGAGUAGAAGCCCAGUAGCUGGGGUAGAGAGAGAGGGUAAAACAAACACUAAGGGCAGCAGGAAUGUGCAUGCAUAAGAGGAAGAAUGGACUUGUGAUUGUGACACUGGCCUGAACAGGCAUAACUGGGCAGUUUUGUACCAGCCCGUCUCUCUCAGUUGCACUGGUUGGGCUAGGACUAGUGAGAGCUAGGUCCAGUCUGCAGCUUUGCCACAGACUCCUGUUGAGAUGCUGGGCAGAUGCUUAAUCUCUCCAUUCCCUCUUUCUAAAAUGGGGACAAUAAUCCUUCCUGCAUCUGUCUUGUCUAUUAACUGAAAGCCCUUCAGGCCAGGAUUGUCUUUUAGAGCCUCUGCUGGCCACCAGUAGGAGCACAGGAUUCCCCAUCACCACUCACGAUUGCAUUGUUUGGCUUCUUGUGAUUUUUUUUUUUAGUUUAGUGGGAGAGGAGGGGUUUACUUUGUAAAGGAGAAGGAUUUUUGCUUCUUACACUUUUUUCUGAAGCACAGGGCAUUGGCCAGCGCUAGAGACACAUUCUAACAAAUUCUUUAACCUAACAUUCUUUAUCAUUGCAGUGGUGACAAUGUUAACAUUGCCCAUAUUUGCUCUUCUUUUUCCCUGGAACAUGCUGUAGGUUUUUUAAAGGGUGCUUUUUGACUGGUACGUGAGAGGGGCUGGAACAGAUGUGCUCAUCAGCUCCCUUGAACAAAAGGAUGCCUGUGAAUGGAGGGGUAUGGACUUGAUGGCCCUUACGGUAUAAAGUUCCUGUGAGUUUGUACAGCCCUGAUUGCAUGGUGGUCUCUAGUCACUACUGCGAGUGUGCCAGAGAUAACAAGGUACACUUACUGUGGGCUCAUAUCCUCACUCCUAUGUCCUCCCUUGUUUGGCCGUACUGCUGACUGCUUCAGUCAUGGCACCUUAUCUGGUCUUCCUGCUCAAGUUUAUUCUGUUCCAUAGGAGCUGCUAACAGGACCUUCAGCCUGGUUGACUUCUGUAUGAGACAAGGAGUGACCUCAAGUGGCCAAAUACUAUAAUUAUUGCCUUAAAAAAAUUAUGUUGCUCC